GCCAACGGGAGGUGGAGUCCGGGCCGCCAACUUGCGGGGGUUUCCCGCAGUGGCGGAGCGGGGUCUAGGGUUGGAGACUGAGUCCCCGGAAAGGGUGAGUCUGGACGGGACACCGAAGCGGCGCGCCCGGGAAGUCAUCUGGAAGAAGGCUUGAGGACUGGAUGCACUUAUCAGAAUGUGGGCGGGAGGGAGCCCCCACUCCCUCCGGGCUGGCCAGAUAUCCAGCGGGUGCACAGCGCAGAUACUCCCCUGACAGGGGAGGUUUGGAGGUGGUAAAGGGUCCGGAGGUGCUGCUUCAUGGGUACACACCUCACUCCGAUUCUAUCUUCAAAGCUGGUCCUGGGUCCAGUGGAGACAGGAAGGAGGAAGUGGCCACCUCAAAAGUCUCUUUCUCAAGAUGUCAUCCCAGACGGUGAGGAAGCUGGCUCGGAGGGGAGCCCAGGAAUCUGGCGGUUAGAACAUUCUUCUCUUUCCAGCGCUGUCUUAUAUCAGUAACAUCUCCAGAAUCGCUGAUAGUCUGGUGAAACUGGAGACCCGGACCAGGAAUCGGGGGUACCAAGCUGGUCACAAGUGUGUGUCUUUCUCUGCCCCCAUGCCCGGAGGAGUCAGCAGGGACUGGGCUCUCUUGCUGGGAUAGAUGCAGGGAAUGGGAAUUACUGGGAUGGCGAAACCAAUUGUAAUGGAUUUAUUUAUUAUUUUGUGGUACUGGGGAUGGAACCUAGAGGGUCUGGGGCAUGCUAAGCAAGCCCUCUACAACUCUGCACCCUCAGCCCCAAUAAUACUUUUAUUCUCAUUUGGGUGAUGUUCAUUCAUUUUUUCAUGCCAAUGUCCAUGUUUGUGCUGAAUGUGCAGGACCGCAUUGAAGCCUCACAGUCAUUUUUCCAGUCAACAUUCUCAGCACCUCCACUUUCCAGAUGGGGAAACUGAGGCCUGCAGUGGCUAAGAGAAUUGUCUGAGUUGUCAUAAGAAGUCCUAGGAUGCACACCCAGGUUUGUUUUAUCACA
rnacentral:lncRNA from 1 species